AUUGAACGCUGGCGGCAUGCUUUACACAUGCCAGUCGAACGGUAACAGGCCGCAAGGUGCUGACGAGUGGCGAACGGGUGAGUAAUGCAUCGGAACGUGCCCAGUCGUGGGGGAUAACUACUCGAAAGAGUAGCUAAUACCGCAUACGAUCUAUGGAUGAAAGCGGGGGACCGUAAGGCCUCGCGCGAUUGGAGCGGCCGAUGUCAGAUUAGGUAGUUGGUGGGGUAAAGGCUCACCAAGCCAACGAUCUGUAGCUGGUCUGAGAGGACGACCAGCCACACUGGGACUGAGACACGGCCCAGACUCCCACGGGAGGCAGCAGUGGGGAAUUUUGGACAAUGGGCGCAAGCCUGAUCCAGCAAUGCCGCGUGCAGGAAGAAGGCCUUCGGGUUGUAAACUGCUUUUGUACGGAACGAAACGGCUCUGGUUAAUACCCGGGGCUAAUGACGGUACCGUAAGAAUAAGCACCGGCUAACUACGUG
rnacentral:rRNA from 1 species